rnacentral:rRNA from 1 species
UCUACCCAGUAGUUGGGGACAACCCGAGGAAACUCGGGCUAAUACCGAAUAUGCACUACGGUGUAAAGAAGGCCUCUAUUUAUAAGCUUUCGCUAUUGGAGGAGCCUGCGUAGGAUUAGUUUGUUGGUGGGGUAAUGGCCUACCAAGACUACGAUCCUUAGCUGGUCUGAGAGGACGAUCAGCCACACUGGAACUGAGACACGGUCCAGACUCCUACGGGGGGCAGCAGUAGGGAAUCUUGGGCAAUGGGCGCAAGCCUGACCCAGCCAUGCCGCGUGUGUGAAGAAGGCUCUAGGGUUGUAAAGCACUUUCAGUGGUGAAGAUAAGCUGUGGAUUAAUACUCCACGGUCUAGACGUUAACCACAGAAGAAGAUCCGGCUAACUCCGUGCCAGCAGCCGCGGUAAUACGGAGGGAUCGAACGUUAAUCGGAAUUACUGGGCGUAAAGCGCGCGUAGGCGGUUUCUUAAGUGGGAUGUGAAAGCCCCGGGCUCAACCUGGGAAUUGCAUUCCAUACUGGGGAACUAGAGUGUGAUAGAGGGAGGUAGAAUUUCCUGUGUAGCGGUGAAAUGCGUAGAUAUAGGAAGGAAUACCAGUGGCG